rnacentral:SRP_RNA from 1 species
GCCGGGCGUGGUGGCACACGCCUGUAGUCCCAGCUACUCAGGAGGCUGAGGCAGGAGAAUUACUUGAACCCAGGAGGCGGAGGUUGCAGUGAGCCAAGAUCAUACCACUGCACUCCAGCCUGGGUGACACAGUAAGACUCUGUCUCAA